rnacentral:rRNA from 1 species
UACAGAGGGGGCAAGCGUUGUUCGGAAUUACUGGGCAUAAAGCGCACGUAGGCGGUCCGUUAAGUCAUGUGUGAAAUCCCCCGGCUCAACCGGGGGAAUUGCGCCUGAUACUGGCGGGCUAGAGGUCGAUAGGGGUGAGCGGAACUCCAGGUGGAGCGGUGAAAUGCGUAGAUAUUGGGAGGAACACCAGUGGCGAAGGCGGCUCACUGGACCGGUACUGACGCUGAGGCGCGAAAGCGUGGGUAGCAAACAGG